rnacentral:rRNA from 1 species
AUUAAACUGAAGAGUUUGAUCCUGGCUCAGAUUGAACGCUGGCGGUAUGCUUAACACAUGCAAGUCGAA